UACGUAGGGUGCGAGCGUUGUCCGGAAUUACUGGGCGUAAAGAGCUCGUAGGUGGUUUGUCGCGUUGUUCGUGAAAACUCACAGCUUAACUGUGGGCGUGCGGGCGAUACGGGGCAGACUGGAGUACUGCAGGGGAGACUGGAUUCCUGGUGUAGCGGUGGAAUGCGCAGAUAUCAGGAGGAACACCAAUGGCGAAGGCAGAUCUCUGGGCCGUAACUGACGCUGGAGGAGCG
rnacentral:rRNA from 1 species